CCCACUGGACCAUCUGUGUUGGUUUUGUGACAUUUUCCUUACGACAAAAAUCAUUGCUACCACUUCAAGAUGAAGAGAGAACAGCUUCUCAGCAUCUGGAACUCUGGUCACUAAAAUGUCCUUCAUGAGAAACAACAAGGACACAUUUCAUCCUGACCUCUAUUUUAAGGAUCAGUUAAGAGAUCAAAAACUGAAGGAAACAAAUGAACUCCUAAUGAAUGCAGUUUGAGG